UACGUAGGUGGCAAGCGUUGUCCGGAUUUAUUGGGUUUAAAGGGUGCGUAGGUGGCCCUGUAAGUCAGUGGUGAAAUAUCUCAGCUUAACUGAGAGGGUGCCAUUGAUACUGCAGGGCUUGAGUACAGAUGAGGUAGGCGGAAUUGACGGUGUAGCGGUGAAAUGCUUAGAUAUCGUCAAGAACACCGAUAGCGAAGGCAGCUUACUGGGCUGUAACUGACGCUGAGGCACGAAAGUGUGGGGAUCAAACAGG
rnacentral:rRNA from 1 species